CGGGACGGGUGAGUAACGCGUGGGUAACCUGCCUUGUACUGGGGGACAACAGUUAGAAAUGACUGCUAAUACCGCAUAAGCGCACAGUAUCGCAUGAUACAGUGUGAAAAACUCCGGUGGUACAAGAUGGACCCGCGUCUGAUUAGCUAGUUGGUAAGGUAAGGCUUACCAAGGCGACGAUCAGUAGCCGACCUGAGAGGGUGACCGGCCACAUUGGGACUGAGACACGGCCCAA
rnacentral:rRNA from 1 species